rnacentral:rRNA from 1 species
AGUCAAUAGAUACCCCGGUAGUCCACGCCGUAAACGAUGUCGACUUGGAGGUUGUGCCCUUGAGGCGGUGGCUUCCGGAGCUAAACGCGUUAAGUCGACCGCCUGGGGAGUACGGCCGCAAGGUUAAAACUCAAAUGAAUUGACGGGGGCCCGCACAAGCGGUGGAGCAUGUGGUUUAAUUCGAUGCAACGCGAAGAACCUUACCUACUCUUGACAUCCAGAGAACUUUCCAGAGAUGGAUUGGUGCCUUCGGGAACUCUGAGACAGGUGCUGCAUGGCUGUCGUCAGCUCGUGUUGUGAAAUGUUGGGUUAAGUCCCGCAACGAGCGCGACCCUUAUCCUUUGUUGCCAGCGGUUAGGCCGGGAACUCAAAGGAGACUGCCAGUGAUAAACUGGAGGAAGGUGGGGAUGACGUCAAGUCAUCAUGGCCC